AUGAGCGCAGCCAAUAAAGUUUUAUCUAUGGUGUUCUCUCUUUCACUCAACAGCAUUCGCGCGGCAUUACAAAAUUAAGUGACGUCGCUACCUGUCACUCGCGCAUGCAGGCCGAUCUCAAAAAGCUCUAAAGCUCUUGACCUUACCGCUUUUUCACACGAUUGUUUUUGUUUACAUUUGCUCCCGUCGUCUUUCAGAUGCCCUGUCUUGUUUGAUUACAUCGAAAAGCUUGUAUGGCUUUCCAAACAUAUCUGUCGUCCACGCGCCAUUCACGUACUUGAAGGCAGAACGAGAGAGAGAGAGACACGCACGCAUACACAUACACAAAGCGCCACCGCUCCAACCAUUUGCAUAGUCUUUUGAUAAUUCGUUGUGGAAAAAACCGCAAAGAGGACAACGCAAAAGACAAGAACAGCACGAUACAGCACCAAACUAACGCUUAUACAUAAUUAGAUACUUAUAUUUAUACUUUACGUUAAUGCACCUACACUUUGUUUACUCUUCUUUUUUCGUAUUUGCUCGUUCAGUCGCACAAUGGUAGGCGCGCAACCAAAACAAAACUAAAACA